rnacentral:lncRNA from 1 species
GGAAAGCAACUGAUCUCUUCUUCAUGGUGACCAGCACCAGGGAACAGCAUGAAGCUGCAGCAGGAGAGGUUCAGGCUAGAUAUCAGGAAAAGGUUCUUCUCUGAAGGGGUGGCUCUGCCACCCCUUCAGAGCCAACAGGCUCCUCAGAGAAAUAGCCAUGGCCUCAGUCAUGAGUUCAGGAAGUGUUUGGACACUGCUCUCAGACACAUGGUUUAAUUUUUAGGUAGUCCCAUGUGUAGCCAUGAAUUGGACUCGAUGAUCCUUGUGGCAAUCCUCCCCUCCAACUUUGAAUAUCCUGUUCUGUUCUAUCCUGGAAAUCCGGAAUGGGUAGGGUGUGUUGAGCAAAAGAAUUCAUCUGCAAGAGGAGAAAGAGGUGCUCAAAGUUGCAGUGGAAAAGUAGAAAUUCCAGGAAUAGAGAAGGUGUGA